GACGAACCGAGCGAACGUUGUUCGGAAUCACUGGGCUUAAAGGGCGCGUAGGCGGGUGCUCAAGUCCGUGGUGAAAUCCCCCGGCUCAACCGGAGAACUGCCUCGGAUACUGGGCGUCUCGAGUGUGGUAGGGGUAUGCGGAACUAUCGGUGGAGCGGUGAAAUGCGUUGAUAUCGAUAGGAACUCCGGUGGCGAAGGCGGCAUACUGGACCACCACUGACGCUGAUGCGCGAAAGCCAGGGGAGCAAACGGG
rnacentral:rRNA from 1 species